GUGCUGUUUGGGUGCUUUCUUUCUUUGAGUGAGGCAGAGAAAGAAGCACCCAGCCAGUGCUUGAACAAAGCGUUGGCUUGGAGCAGCAGAAGGAACAUGCAGCUUGUAUUGCUGAUAGUGGCUACAGAUGUUCCAGUGUAUCAUCCCUGCUACCUUGUCAUGCCUUUGUUUGAAAGAAAAUGAAACAACAUCUUCAAAGUCCACUUGCUCCUGGAAAAUAGAGCCACCAAUCCCUUGGCCAUGGCCAGAGAGAUGGAGAGAUUGAUGGUGCCAAAACAACUUGGGACAGAGAAUCAGUCUUUGGCCUGAAGUUCAAAACUGACAUUUGCAAAAUUGAGCCAUCGAAUAAAACCGAAUGGCAAGAGAUUCA